rnacentral:rRNA from 1 species
UACGUAGGGGGCAAGCGUUAUCCGGAUUUACUGGGUGUAAAGGGAGCGUAGACGGCCAGACAAGUCUGAAGUGAAAAUCCAGCGCUUAACGUUGGAAGUGCUUUGGAAACUGCCGGGCUAGAGUGCAGGAGGGGCAGGCGGAAUUCCUAGUGUAGCGGUGAAAUGCUUAGAGAUCAUACAGAACACCGAUUGCGAAGGCAGCUUACCAAGCUACUUCUGACGUUGAGGCACGAAAGCGUGGGGAGCAAACAGG